rnacentral:rRNA from 1 species
GACGAACGCUGGCGGCGUGCUUAACACAUGCAAGUCGAACGGAAAGGCCCUGCUUUUGUGGGGUGCUCGAGUGGCGAACGGGUGAGUAACACGUGAGUAACCUGCCCUUGACUUUGGGAUAACUUCAGGAAACUGGGGCUAAUACCGGAUAGGAGCUCCUGCUGCAUGGUGGGGGUUGGAAAGUUUCGGCGGUUGGGGAUGGACUCGCGGCUUAUCAGCUUGUUGGUGGGGUAGUGGCUUACCAAGGCUUUGACGGGUAGCCGGCCUGAGAGGGUGACCGGCCACAUUGGGACUGAGAUACGGCCCAGACUCCUACGGGAGGCAGCAGUGUGGAAUAUUGCACAAUGGGCGGAAGCCUGAUGCAGCAACGCCGCGUGCGGGAUGACGGCCUUCGGGUUGUAAACCGCUUUCGCCUGUGACGAAUCGUGAGUGACUGUAAUGAGUAAAGAAGCACCGGCUAACUACGUG